UACCAGCACCCCGAGUGGUCGGGACGAUUAUUGGGCCUAAAGCAUCCGUAGCCGGUCCUGCAAGUCUUCCGUUAAAUCCAGCUGCUCAACAGAUGGGCUGCGGGAGAUACUACAGGGCUAGGAGGCGGGGAGAGGCAAGCGGUACUUUAUGGGUAGGGGUAAAAUCCGCUGAUCCAUAGAAGACCACCAGUGGCGAAGGCGGCUUGCCAGAACGCGCUCGACGGUGAGGGAUGAAAGCUGGGGGAGCAAACCGG
rnacentral:rRNA from 1 species